rnacentral:lncRNA from 1 species
GAUUUUGUGUUUGGGUUUCCGAGUACUCCUAGAGAAUUUUAUGUGAUUUGGGUGAUUGUGGACAGACUAACUAAAUCGACGCAUUUUAUUCCCAUAAAGACCAGUUUUUCAUAGCAAAAGCUAGAGAGCCGGAUGAGGGAGUCCUAUCCGAAGUUGCUUUCGCCAUGUAAUUUUCGAGAGCAAAAAUUCUUUUAAGUGUGGGAGAGUUGUAACACCCCAACUUAUAAUUAGAGUAUUUUAUUUAUUUAUUCUGGUGAUUUAUUUAUUAUAUUGGAUUUUG